rnacentral:misc_RNA from 1 species
UUUUUCAAAUUGGACCUGAUAUCAG